rnacentral:rRNA from 1 species
AGUGAACGCUGGCGGUAGGCCUAACACAUGCAAGUCGAACGGCAGCACAGUAAGAGCUUGCUCUUACGGGUGGCGAGUGGCGGACGGGUGAGGAAUACAUCGGAAUCUACUUUUUCGUGGGGGAUAACGUAGGGAAACUUACGCUAAUACCGCAUACGACCUACGGGUGAAAGCAGUGGUUCUUCGGACCUUGCGCGAUUGUAUGAGCCGAUGUCGGAUUAGCUAGUUGGCUGGGUAAAGGCCCACCAAGGCGACGAUCCGUAGCUGAUCUGAGAGGAUGAUCAGCCACACUGGAACUGAGACACGGUCCAGACUCCUACGGGAGGCAGCAGUGGGGAAUAUUGGACAAUGGGCGCAAGCCUGAUCCAGCCAUGCCGCGUGAGUGAAGAAGGCCUUCGGGUUGUAAAGCCCUUUUGUUGGGAAAGAAAAGCAGCAGGUUAAUACCCCGCUGUUCUGACGGUACCCAAAGAAUAAGCACCGGCUAACUUCGUG